AGAGUUUGAUCUUGGCUCAGAUUGAACGCUGGCGGCAGGCCUAACACAUGCAAUUCGAGCGGUAGAGAGAAGCUUGCUUCUCUUGAGAGCGGCGGACGGGUGAGUAAUGCCUAGGAAUCUGCCUGGUAGUGGGGGAUAACGUUCGGAAACGGACGCUAAUACCGCAUACGUCCUACGGGAGAAAGCAGGGGACCUUCGGGCCUUGCGCUAUCAGAUGAGCCUAGGUCGGAUUAGCUAGUUGGUGAGGUAAUGGCUCACCAAGGCGACGAUCCGUAACUGGUCUGAGAGGAUGAUCAGUCACACUGGAACUGAGACACGGUCCAGACUCCUACGGGAGGCAGCAGUGGGGAAUAUUGGACAAUGGGCGAAAGCCUGAUCCAGCCAUGCCGCGUGUGUGAAGAAGGUCUUCGGAUUGUAAAGCACUUUAAGUUGGGAGGAAGGGCAGUAAAUUAAUACUUUGCUGUUUUGACGUUACCGACAGAAUAAGCACCGGCUAACUCUGUGCCAGCAGCCGCGGUAAUACAGAGGGUGCAAGCGUUAAUCGGAAUUACUGGGCGUAAAGCGCGCGUAGGUGGUUUGUUAAGUUGGAUGUGAAAUCCCCGGGCUCAACCUGGGAACUGCAUUCAAAACUGACUGACUAGAGUAUGGUAGAGGGUGGUGGAAUUUCCUGUGUAGCGGUGAAAUGCGUAGAUAUAGGAAGGAACACCAGUGGCGAAGGCGACCACCUGGACUAAUACUGACACUGAGGUGCGAAAGCGUGGGGAGCAAACAGAAUUAGAUACCCUGGUAGUCCACGCCGUAAACGAUGUCAACUAGCCGUUGGAAGCCUUGAGCUUUUAGUGGCGCAGCUAACGCAUUAAGUUGACCGCCUGGGGAGUACGGCCGCAAGGUUAAAACUCAAAUGAAUUGACGGGGGCCCGCACAAGCGGUGGAGCAUGUGGUUUAAUUCGAAGCAACGCGAAGAACCUUACCAGGCCUUGACAUCCAAUGAACUUUCUAGAGAUAGAUUGGUGCCUUCGGGAACAUUGAGACAGGUGCUGCAUGGCUGUCGUCAGCUCGUGUCGUGAGAUGUUGGGUUAAGUCCCGUAACGAGCGCAACCCUUGUCCUUAGUUACCAGCACGUAAUGGUGGGCACUCUAAGGAGACUGCCGGUGACAAACCGGAGGAAGGUGGGGAUGACGUCAAGUCAUCAUGGCCCUUACGGCCUGGGCUACACACGUGCUACAAUGGUCGGUACAGAGGGUUGCCAAGCCGCGAGGUGGAGCUAAUCCCAUAAAACCGAUCGUAGUCCGGAUCGCAGUCUGCAACUCGACUGCGUGAAGUCGGAAUCGCUAGUAAUCGCGAAUCAGAAUGUCGCGGUGAAUACGUUCCCGGGCCUUGUACUCACCGCCCGUC
rnacentral:rRNA from 1 species